rnacentral:rRNA from 1 species
UACGUAGGGUGCAAGCGUUGUCCGGAAUUAUUGGGCGUAAAGAGCUCGUAGGCGGUUUGUCGCGUCUGCUGUGAAAACCCGAGGCUCAACCUCGGGCCUGCAGUGGGUACGGGCAGACUAGAGUGCGGUAGGGGAGAUUGGAAUUCCUGGUGUAGCGGUGGAAUGCGCAGAUAUCAGGAGGAACACCAAUGGCGAAGGCAGAUCUCUGGGCCGUAACUGACGCUGGAGGAAGCGAAAGCAUGGGGAGCGAACAGG